rnacentral:rRNA from 1 species
GCGCGCCCCGGGCGGGGCGGGGGCACGGGGGGAACGCGAAGAACCUUACCUACUCUUGACAUCCAGAGAACUUAGCAGAGAUGCUUUGGUGCCUUCGGGAACUCUGAGACAGGUGCUGCAUGGCUGUCGUCAGCUCGUGUUGUGAAAUGUUGGGUUAAGUCCCGCAACGAGCGCAACCCUUAUCCUUUGUUGCCAGCGAUUCGGUCGGGAACUCAAAGGAGACUGCCAGUGAUAAACUGGAGGAAGGUGGGGAUGACGUCAAGUCAUCAUGGCCCUUACGAGUAGGGCUACACACGUGCUACAAUGGCGUAUACAAAGAGAAGCGACCUCGCGAGAGCAAGCGGAACUCAUAAAGUACCUCUAGUCCGGAUUGGAGUCUGCAACUCGACUCCAUGAAGUCGGAAUCGCUAGU